GCAGCUGAGCGGUAGAUUUUCUUCGGAAGAUUGAGAGCGGCGUACGGGUGCGUAACACGUGUGCAACCUGCCCUUAUCAAGAGGAUAGCCCGGAGAAAUUCGGAUUAAUACUCUAUAAUAUAUUGACUGGCAUCGGUUAAUAUUGAAAGAUUUAUCGGAUAAGGAUGGGCACGCGCAAGAUUAGGUAGUUGGUAGGGUAACGGCCUACCAAGCCGAUGAUCUUUAGGGGGCCUGAGAGGGUGAUCCCCCACACUGGUACUGAGACACGGACCAGACUCCUACGGGAGGCAGCAGUGAGGAAUAUUGGACAAUGGGUUAACGCCUGAUCCAGCCAUCCCGCGUGAAGGACGACGGUUCUAUGGAUUGUAAACUUCUUUUAUAUAGGGAUAAACCUACUCUCGUGAGAGUAGCUGAAGGUACUAUAUGAAUAAGCACCGGCUAACUCCGUGCCAGCAGCCGCGGUAAUACGGAGGGUGCAAGCGUUAUCCGGAUUUAUUGGGUUUAAAGGGUCCGUAGGCGGGCUUGUAAGUCAGUGGUGAAAUCCGGCAGCUCAACUGUCGAACUGCCAUUGAUACUGCAAGUCUUGAGUAAAUUAGAAGUGGCUGGAAUAAGUAGUGUAGCGGUGAAAUGCAUAGAUAUUACUUAGAACACCAAUUGCGAAGGCAGGUCACUAUGUUUUAACUGACGCUGAUGGACGAAAGCGUGGGUAGCGAACAGGAUUAGAUACCCUGGUAGUCCACGCCGUAAACGAUGAUUACUCGUUUUUGGGCUUUAUAGUUCAGAGACUAAGCGAAAGUGAUAAGUAAUCCACCUGGGGAGUACGUUCGCAAGA
rnacentral:rRNA from 1 species